rnacentral:misc_RNA from 1 species
GAUGAAGAACGCAGCGAAAUGCGAUACGUAAUGUGAAUUGCAAAUUCAGUGAAUCAUCGAGUCUUUGAACGCACAUUGCGCCCCCUGGUAUUCCGGGGGGCAUGCCUGUCCGAGCGUCAUUGCUGCCCUCAAGCACGGCUUGUGUGUUGGGCCCCGUCCUCCGAUCCCGGGGGACGGGCCCGAAAGGCAGCGGCGGCACCGCGUCCGGUCCUCGAGCGUAUGGGGCUUUGUCACCCGCUCUGUAGGCCCGGCCGGCGCUUGCCGAUCAACCCAUAUUUUUUAUCCAGGUUGACCUCGGAUCAGGUAGGGAUACCCGCUGAACUUAAGCAUAUCAAUAAGCGGAGGA